AGAGUUUGAUUCUGGCUCAGGAUGAACGCUGGCGGCGUGCUUAAUACAUGCAAGUCGAACGAAGCACCUCUCCCGAAGAUAGACCCAGCUUGCUGGGGAUUGAUUCACCUGAGGUGACUGAGUGGCGGACGGGUGAGUAACGCGUGGGUAACCUGCCUUAUACAGGGGGAUAACAGUUGGAAACGACUGCUAAUACCGCAUAAGCGCACAGUACCGCAUGGUACAGUGUGAAAAACUCCGGUGGUAUAAGAUGGACCCGCGUCUGAUUAGCUAGUUGGUGAGGUAACGGCUUACCAAGGCAACGAUCAGUAGCCGACUUGAGAGAGUGAUCGGCCACAUUGGGACUGAGACACGGCCCAA
rnacentral:rRNA from 1 species